UACGUAGGGGGCAAGCGUUGUCCGGAUUCAUUGGGCGUAAAGAGCGUGUAGGCGGCCAGGUAGGUCGGUUGUGAAAACUGGAGGCUCAACCUUCAGAGGUCGACCGAAACCAUCUGGCUAGAGUCCGGGAGAGGAGAGUGGAAUUCCGUGGUGUAGCGGUGAAAUGCGCAGAUAUCAUUUGGAACGCCAAUGGUGAAAACAGCUCGCUGGGGGUGCACUGACACUGAGACACGAAAGCCAGGGAGCGAACGGG
rnacentral:rRNA from 1 species